rnacentral:rRNA from 1 species
GAACCAGUACCGUGAGGGAAAGGCGAAAAGAACCCCGGCGAGGGGAGUGAAAAAGAACCUGAAACCGUGUACGUACAAGCAGUGGGAGCACCCUUUGGGGUGUGACUGCGUACCUUUUGUAUAAUGGGUCAGCGACUUAUAUUCUGUAGCAAGGUUAACCGCAUAGGGGAGCCGCAGGGAAACCGAGUCUUAAUUGGGCGUUAAGUUGCAGGGUAUAGACCCGAAACCCGGUGAUCUAGCCAUGGGCAGGUUG